CAGUCGCCGCGGGAACACGUAGGUGGCAAGCGUUGUCCGGAAUUAUUGGGCGUAAAGGGCUCGCAGGCGGUUUCUUAGGUCUGAUGUGAAAGCCCCCGGCUCAACCGGGGAGGGUCAUUGGAAACUGGGAAACUUGAGUGCAGAAGAGGAGAGUGGAAUUCCACGUGUAGCGGUGAAAUGCGUAGAGAUGUGGAGGAACACCAGUGGCGAAGGCGACUCUCUGGUCUGUAACUGACGCUGAGGAGCGAAAGCGUGGGGAGCGAACAGGAUUAGAUACCCCUGUAGUCCCUGUCUCUUAUAC
rnacentral:rRNA from 1 species